UUACCAGACUCCUACGGGAGGCAGCAGUGAGGAAUAUUGGUCAAUGGGCGCAGGCCUGAACCAGCCAAGUCGCGUGAGGGAAGACUGCCCUAUGGGUUGUAAACCUCUUUUAUAAGGGAAGAAUAAUGACUACGUGUAGUCAGAUGCCCGUACCUUAUGAAUAAGCAUCGGCUAACUCCGUGCCAGCAGCCGCGGUAAUACGGAGGAUGCGAGCGUUAUCCGGAUUUAUUGGGUUUAAAGGGUGCGCAGGCGGCACGGCAGGCCGGCGGUCAAAUCGCGGGGCUCAACCCCGCCCAGCCGUCGGAACUGCCGGGCUAGAGUGGGCGAGAAGUGCGCGGAAUGCGUGGUGUAGCGGUGAAAUGCAUAGAUAUCACGCAGAACUCCGAUUGCGAAGGCAGCGCACCGGCGCCCUACUGACGCUCAGGCACGAAAGCGUGGGUAUCGAACAGGAUUAGAUACCCGUGUAUU
rnacentral:rRNA from 1 species